GAUGAACGCUGACAGAAUGCUUAACACAUGCAAGUCAACUUGAAUUUGGGUUUUUAACUUAGGUUUGGGUGGCGGACGGGUGAGUAACGCGUAAAGAACUUGCCUCACAGCUAGGGACAACAUUUGGAAACGAAUGCUAAUACCUAAUAUUAUGAUAAUAGGGCAUCCUAUAAUUAUGAAAGCUAUAAGCGCUGUGAGAGAGCUUUGCGUCCCAUUAGCUAGUUGGAGAGGUAACGGCUCACCAAGGCGAUGAUGGGUAGCCGGCCUGAGAGGGUGAUCGGCCACAAGGGGACUGAGACACGGCCCUUACUCCUACGGGAGGCAGCAGUGGGGAAUAUUGGACAAUGGACCAAGAGUCUGAUCCAGCAAUUCUGUGUGCACGAUGAAGUUUUUCGGAAUGUAAAGUGCUUUCAGUUGGGAAGAAAGAAAUGACGGUACCAACAGAAGAAGUGACGGCUAAAUACGUGCCAGCAGCCGCGGUAAUACGUAUGUCACGAGCGUUAUCCGGAUUUAUUGGGCGUAAAGCGCGUCUAGGUGGUUAUGUAAGUCUGAUGUGAAAAUGCAGGGCUCAACUCUGUAUUGCGUUGGAAACUGUAUAACUAGAGUACUGGAGAGGUAAGCGGAACUACAAGUGUAGAGGUGAAAUUCGUAUAUAUUUGUAGGAAUGCCGAUGGGGAAGCCAGCUUACUGGACAGAUACUGACGCUGAAGCGCGAAAGCGUGGGUAGCAAACAGG
rnacentral:rRNA from 1 species